rnacentral:rRNA from 1 species
CCUCCGGGGGGCAGCAGUGGGGAAUAUUGCACAAUGGGCGAAAGCCUGAUGCAGCGACGCCGCGUGGGGGAUGACGGCCUUCGGGUUGUAAACCCCUUUCGACAGGGACGAAGCGCAAGUGACGGUACCUGUAGAAGAAGCACCGGCCAACUACGUGCCAGCAGCCGCGGUAAUACGUAGGGUGCGAGCGUUGUCCGGAAUUACUGGGCGUAAAGAGCUUGUAGGCGGUCUGUCGCGUCUUCUGUGAAAACUUGGGGCUCAACCUUAAGCUUGCAGGGGAUACGGGCAGACUAGAGUACUUCAGGGGAGACUGGAAUUCCUGGUGUAGCGGUGAAAUGCGCAGAUAUCAGGAGGAACACCGGUGGCGAAGGCGGGUCUUGGGAAGUAACUGACGCUGAGAAGCGAAAGCAUGGGUAGCAAACAGGAUUAGAUACCCUAGUAGUC